GCAAGAGCAGAGUUGAAAUCCUCUGUGAAACAGCUGGAAAAGGUUCUCCAGAACUGUUCAGAACCUGAUGAAUGCCACAUCUGCCCUACCCCUAACCCAUUGUACCUUAUCCCUAUGAGCUGAGUUGCCUGUGUGCUUGACCUCUUUGUGAGUCAUGAUGUCAUCAAAUCCACCACUGAUCUGCAAUGGGAUUGGAGCAACAUGGAUAGAAGGCCAGGAGAACGAUGGCCCAAAAAGGAACUGAAGAAAAAAAAAGCCCAAAUGUGGGAAAGCAACAACAGGGAUGAAGAAAGAGACCUCCGAGAGAUCAGGAGAAAGUCACGGGGGAAGAUCUGGGAAGAUUAUCCACCCAAGAGAACAAGCAGAAAGGAACAGUACACGGACAGAACCUGCAACAGCUGAACAAAAUCUUUUUGGGACUGUAGACCAUGGUAUUCACCUGUCUCAUUAGAUAGGAUUAAGCUAAGGUAGUUUUGUUUUUCAUUUGUUUGCAUUUACAACCAGUUCUUCCUUAAGAAACUUCAGAUAACUCUGCAUGUGGCUUUCCCAUUGUGUUUGCAAAACUAUUCUGGACAAAUAGAUUUAAAGUGCAUUGGGGUUUAAUCAGUGGGGGGUAGAACAAUGGGAAAGUAGAGCUCAGGCCAUAAAGAUUAUUGGACUCAAAUAGGACUAUAUUCAGGAAAGGAAGAAAUACCAAUUGAUUGAUAAUGCCAGUCUGGCGGAAAUAUCCUGUAUGAUUAACCAUCCUAUACAUCUUAAUGAAAUAAAAGUCUCUGUUCCUUUUUUUUGUUAUUUUUAA